AGUGGAAUUGCUGGGUCAUAUGAUAAAUCUAUGUUUAACAUUCUGAAGAACUUUCAAAAUGUUUUCCAAAGUGACUAUAUCACUUUACAUUUCCACCAGCAAU
rnacentral:pre_miRNA from 1 species